CAGGUCAACGCUGAAAAACCACGGGCUCAGCCUGGAGCAUCCCAAAAGGCUUCUUGGAGAAGGCAAUCUUGCCACAGAAAUCAGCUGAAGCAAGAUGGAAGGGAGGGCCUUGAAGACCAAGCCUCAGGAAGAUGCUGACAGGUCUCAGUAUGUAGUCCUGGCUGUCCUGGAACUCUCUAUGCAGAGCAGGCUGGCUUGAACCCACAGAGAUCUGUCUUCCUCGGCCUCCCUGUCACCAGGAUCAAAGGAGGAAAGACUUAGCUUCCUUACCCUGAAGCAG